AUUGAACGCUGGCGGAAUGCUUUACACAUGCAAGUCGAACGGUAGAGGGGGCGACCCCUUGAGAGUGGCGAACGGGUGAGUAAUAUAUCGGAACGUGCCCAGUCGUGGGGGAUAACGUAGCGAAAGUUACGCUAAUACCGCAUACGAUCUAAGGAUGAAAGCGGGGGACCGUAAGGCCUCGCGCGAUUGGAGCGGCCGAUAUCAGAUUAGGUAGUUGGUGAGGUAAAGGCUCACCAAGCCAACGAUCUGUAGCUGGUCUGAGAGGACGACCAGCCACACUGGAACUGAGACACGGUCCAGACUCCUACGGGAGGCAGCAGUGGGGAAUUUUGGACAAUGGACGCAAGUCUGAUCCAGCCAUUCCGCGUGCAGGAUGAAGGCCCUCGGGUUGUAAACUGCUUUUGUACGGAAUGAAAAGGUCUCUCCUAAUACGAGGGGCUCAUGACGGUACCGUAAGAAUAAGCACCGGCUAACUACGUGCCAGCCGCCGCCGUAA
rnacentral:rRNA from 1 species